rnacentral:rRNA from 1 species
UACGGAGGGGGCCAGCGUUGUUCGGAAUCAUUGGGCGUAAAGGGCGCGUAGGCGGCUUUGUAAGUCCGUUGUGAAAUCCCUCGGCUCAACCGAGGAACUGCGACGGAUACUGCUUGGCUUGAGUCCCGGAGAGGGUAGCGGAAUUCCCAGUGUAGCGGUGAAAUGCGCAGAUAUCAGGAGGAACACCGAUGGCGAAGGCAGGUCUCUGGGCAUUAACUGACGCUGAGGAGCGAAAGCAUGGGGAGCGAACAGG